rfam:Brachypodium distachyon strain Bd21 chromosome 5, whole genome shotgun sequence.
AUUAUAUUCCCUCCGUUCCAUAAUUCUUGUUGAAAUAUUACAUGUAUUUAGAUGCCUUUUAGACAUAAAUACAUCCAUUUUUUAGCAAAUUUGAGACAAGAAUUAUGGAACGGAGGGAGUAUGUG